CAUUACCGAGUUUACAACUCCCAAACCCAAUGUGAACCAUACCAAACUGUUGCCUCGGCGGGGUCACGCCCCGGGUGCGUCGCAGCCCCGGAACCAGGCGCCCGCCGGAGGGACCAACCAAACUCUUUCUGUAGUCCCCUCGCGGACGUUAUUUCUUACAGCUCUGAGCAAAAAUUCAAAAUGAAUCAAAACUUUCAACAACGGAUCUCUUGGUUCUGGCAUCGAUGAAGAACGCAGCGAAAUGCGAUAAGUAAUGUGAAUUGCAGAAUUCAGUGAAUCAUCGAAUCUUUGAACGCACAUUGCGCCCGCCAGUAUUCUGGCGGGCAUGCCUGUCCGAGCGUCAUUUCAACCCUCGAACCCCUCCGGGGGUCCGGCGUUGGGGAUCGGGAACCCCUAAGACGGGAUCCCGGCCCCGAAAUACAGUGGCGGUCUCGCCGCAGCCUCUCAUGCGCAGUAGUUUGCACAACUCGCACCGGGAGCGCGGCGCGUCCACGUCCGUAAAACACCCAACUUCUGAAAUGUUGACCUCGGAUCAGGUAGGAAUACCCG
rnacentral:misc_RNA from 1 species